AUUUAAAUAGCUUAUCUAGAGCAUAAUAUUGAAGAUAUUAGGGAGAUUUUAUUAAUCUUUAAAUA
rnacentral:tRNA from 1 species